CUUCUGAUGUGCGGAUGUGUUCGGAGUUUCUUCCUUCUGGUGGGUUCGUGGUCUCGCUGGCUCGGGAGUGAAGCUGCAGACGUUUGCGGAACUCGUGAGUUAUGACAAAAAGAUAUUAUGACUCCCAUGCAGCGGAUGAAGAAAUUGAUGCCCAUGAAAGGAGAUUCACAAGCCUCCCUCCCAGAUUCAGGGAAGGAGAUGCAGCCCCCACCCCUUGACUGGAGGAGGACCAAGGUCACCUUGCAGAGCAAUGUGAGAUGUGGAAGAUGCCAGAACUGUCUGUGGGAAAUGGGAUUUGUACUUGGCUUGUCUGCCUCUUGCAACCAGAGUCCUGGUUCUCAGGGCCUCACCUGUGCAUCUCUUGUUGAGCACAGAGGAGGCACUCGGCAUAAAUGAAGAGGAUGCUUGCUGAGCUGGCUGGCCCAUCCUCUCUUCUUUCCCUUGUUUUUCUAUUUUAUCUUUCAAAGCAGUGUUUCAAGUGUUUAUAAACUAAUCUAUGUAUAAAAUAUUAUGUGGCAUAAGAUUUGCAAAAUAUUAAAGAUUUAAAGAAUCAAAUAAAAUAUUUGUAUGAUACCAC
rnacentral:lncRNA from 1 species